rnacentral:tRNA from 1 species
GCGCCAGUAGUCUAGCCUGGUAGAACACAAGCUUGCCAAGUUUGGAGCCCGGGUUCAAAUCCCGGCUGGCGCA